CAGCUCAGCUAACAGCACAGAAUUCUUUGAAGCUCAGUAAUUGAGAUUUAUCAAAAAUAAACCAAAACCCCAGAAACCUGCCACCAUCUUGGUGGAAAUAAUUUUCAAAUUCUUAUGCAGUUAUUAUAUUUUCUGGCUUGGAGGCAUAAUGAGUUUAAAGCAUUAAUUAGGAACACAUUCCAUCCUUUGCCUCCCAUGGUUAAACUGUUUAAUUAAAGGCCUUGAAGCCUUCUGGGCAAAACAAUCAGGCCGCGGCAUGAUCAUCUCCCUCUUGUUUUCUUUGCUUCAUGCUUCUUCAUCUUUAGAAAUGUAAUUCAUUUAUUCUAGGACUGUUUGGCACUUUCCACUUAGCCAACAGUAGACAAAAAAAGUCAGUAGUAGUUUGGUUUUGUAGAUUCUUAAAGAGACUAAUCUCUGAUGGUUGUAGACAGUCAUUUAUUGCAUAAACAUUUGUUGAGAAAGUUCCAGCUUAAGAAUCCUGAUACUGUGCUGGGUGUUUUGAAACAAGUGAUAAAUCUGAUGUAGCUCCUUGUUUGCAUCUAAAGGAGUUCUCAGGAAAGAAGGUGAAAUGAGACAGAGACAUUCCAGUCUACAACCCAAAGAAAAAAGAGUGCUUCCAGUCACUGAACUGAACUGGAAACCAAUCAACAAGGGAAACCAGGAGAUGCAGUCCUUGAAGAUCAGCCUCCUGGCCACAAGAAGGGCAGGGGAAGAGAAUACAUAGAUCUGUAGAGAAGAGUGGUGAUGGGAGCUGCCAAUAAAGAACUAUCAAAAGAGUUUCCGGUGUUGCUGCUGAGAAGUCUCAAGCUGAUCUGAUCCUGGAUCCUUCGUAAGUAAUUUAUUUUGUUUUCUUUCUGGAUGCAGACAGAAUCUUCUUUUUAUCCAUGUUGCUCUGAAUUUCG
rnacentral:lncRNA from 13 species